rnacentral:tRNA from 1 species
ACUUAAAUAGCUUAUAGUUAGAGCAUAGUAUUGAAGAUACUAAGGAGAUUACUUAAUUUUUAAGUA